UUUGCGUAGCACGGCACCUACUGAAAAGCCGAAUUGAGCAACACACCUCAGCUAAUUGUCGAUCCUGAUCUGUGUGAGGCUAACGAUUGUUUACGUUCGAGCUAUUCAACAGCAUUAGAGUGUUUAACCAAAAGCGAGUUUCUUUCCUACGAACAAAUUUUCAAUAUUCUUUUGAAGACUAUUAAUUGUUUAAUACUAUAGUUACGGCAAGGCCCAUCGAUAGCCGGUACUGAAUUGCGGUAAUAACCCACGUGUGAAGAAGUUUAAUUGAAUUGUGUAGGCAAGAGUGUACGUACGGGUACCAGUGUACUACGGUUAAUUAAAACACGACGAAUUCUGCUAGGCCCGGGUAGAAAACCAUCGGAAUCACAAACGUAAGCAGUUCCAGGUUAAAAAUAGUAUCAUUUAGUAAUGUUAAGUUAUACUUCAGGAAAAUUUUAACCGUUCGGUUCCCGCUCGGUCCAUCAAUAAACGCGUUAAAGUUUCGGAUA